CGGGAGAGGCGGCGUUCUUCUUAGGCGGCUGCAGGUCGUGGCGGCGCUGGAGGCCAUGAGUGUGGCGAAGGUGACAGUUGGGCCCAGCGGGUCCUACGGGCAACACCUCUUGUUUCAGUGGGAUGGAUGCUGCCCAAAGUGGCCCACAGGCAACUCUCCCUGGAGCCCCAAAUGGCACAAGGGCUUCUUACUGAGAGGCCCUCCUGGAACAUUAAGAGCAUCCUGCAAGGUUUCUUUCUGGCUCUCUGAUGUUGUCAAGAAGCAAAUAUCACCAGCCUUGAGGGAUUCA